rfam:Gossypium hirsutum cultivar TM-1 chromosome 1, whole genome shotgun sequence
AACCCAUGUUGAAGGCACCUUCGUAAUAAGUCCUUGCAUCUUUCCCAUGCAUCAUAAAGAGUUUCUAGAUCCAUCUGCACAAAAGAAGAGAUAUCAUUUCUCAAUUU